UACGUAGGCAGCGAGCGUUGUUCGGAGUUACUGGGCGUAAAGCGUGCGUAGGCGGUGUCUUAAGUUUGUUGUGAAAUCUCCCGGCUUAACCGGGAGGGUGCGGCGAAUACUGAGAUGCUGGAGUGCCGGAGAGGUAAGCGGAAUUCCUGGUGUAGCGGUGAAAUGCGUAGAUAUCAGGAGAAACACCUGCGGUGUAGACGGCUUACUGGACGGUAACUGACGCUGAGGCACGAAAGCGUGGGUAGCAAACAGG
rnacentral:rRNA from 1 species